rnacentral:rRNA from 1 species
UACGUAGGGUGCGAGCGUUGUCCGGAAUUAUUGGGCGUAAAGAGCUCGUAGGCGGUUUGUCGCGUCUGCUGUGAAAUCCCGAGGCUCAACCUCGGGCCUGCAGUGGGUACGGGCAGACUGGAGUGCCGGAGGGGAGAGUGGAAUUCCUGGUGUAGCGGUGAAAUGCGUAGAUAUCAGGAGGAAUACCGGUGGCGAAAGCGACUCUCUGGACGGCAACUGACGCUGAGGCACGAAAGCGUGGGGAGCAAACAGG